rnacentral:rRNA from 1 species
AGCGAACGCUGGCGGCAGGCCUAACACAUGCAAGUCGAACGAAGCCUUCGGGCUUAGUGGCGGACGGGUGAGUAACACGUGGGAACGUACCUUUUGGUUCGGAAUAACGCAGAGAAAUUUGCGCUAAUACCGCAUGAGCCCUUAGGGGGAAAGAUUUAUCGCCGAAAUAUCGGCUCGCGUUGGAUUAGGUAGUUGUUGUGGUAAAGGCGCACCAAGCCUACGAUCCAUAGCUGGUCUGAGAGGAUGAUCAGCCACACUGAGACUGAGACGCGGCCCAGACUCCUACGGGAGGCAGCAGUGGGGAAUCUUGCGCAAUGGGCGAAAGCCUGACGCAGCCAUGCCGCGUGAAUGAUGAAGGUCUUAGGAUUGUAAAAUUCUUUUACCAGGGACGAUAAUGACGGUACCUGGAGAAAAAGCCCCGGCUAACUUCGUGCCAGCAGCCGCCGCCGUAA